ACAGGGAUUGCCCUAGUAACGGCGAGUGAAGCGGCAACAGCUCAAAUUUGAAAUCUGGCCUCGGCCCGAGUUGUAAUUUGCAGAGGAAGCUUUAGGCGCGGCACCAUCUGAGUCCCCUGGAACGGGGCGCCAUAGAGGGUGAGAGCCCCGUAUAGAUGGACGCCUAGCCUGUGUAAAGCUCCUUCGACGAGUCGAGUAGUUUGGGAAUGCUGCUCAAAAUGGGAGGUAAAUUUCUUCUAAAGCUAAAUACCGGCCAGAGACCGAUAGCGCACAAGUAGAGUGAUCGAAAGAUGAAAAGCACUUUGAAAAGAGGGUUAAAUAGCACGUGAAAUUGUUGAAAGGGAAGCGCUUGUGACCAGACUUGCGCCGGGCGGAUCAUCCGGUGUUCUCACCGGUGCACUCCGCCCGGCUCAGGCCAGCAUCGGUUCUCGCGGGGGGAUAAAGGCCCUGGGAACGUAGCUCCUCCGGGAGUGUUAUAGCCCAGGGCGCAAUGCCCUCGCGGGGACCGAGGUUCGCGCAUCUGCAAGGAUGCUGGCGUAAUGGUCAUCAGCGACCCGUCUUGAAACACGGACCAAGGAGUCAAGGUUUUGCGCGAGUGUUUGGGUGUAAAACCCGCACGCGUAAUGAAAGUGAACGUAGGUGAGAGCUUCGGCGCAUCAUCGACCGAUCCUGAUGUUUUCGGAUGGAUUUGAGUAGGAGCGUUAAGCCUUGGACCCGAAAGAUGGUGAACUAUGCUUGGAUAGGGUGAAGCCAGAGGAAACUCUGGUGGAGGCUCGCAGCGGUUCUGACGUGCAAAUCGAUCGUCAAAUCUGAGCAUGGGGCGAAAGACUAAUCGA
rnacentral:rRNA from 1 species